CAUAUCUGCAGUUCUUACCUGUGAGCAUAUUAUUACUACUGCUCAGACAGCCUUUAGAAGCAAACCGCCUAAAUGAUGUGGACAGUUGGAAUGUGCCUUUAGCUUCUCUGAUGAAGCAUAGAUGCUGAGAUGAAGUCAGGAGAGGAGAGAAAGCAAAGGUCAGGCCGAGGCCCAGGCUGGAGAUUGGACAAGGGAAGCCUCACAUCACAGUGCAGACAGCAGGUGCACAGCAGGUGCAGAAGACAGCAGGUGUGGAUGUGGCAGAUGCGGACAUGGCAGAUGGAGUCUCGCUCUGUCAUCCAGGCUGGAGUGCAGUGGUGUGAUCUCGGCUCACUGCAACCUCCACCCCCCCAGGUUCAGUGGAGAGAGAUUUCACCAUGUUAGCCAGGAUGCUCUCCAUCUCCUGACCUCGUGAUCCACCCACCUCGGCCUCCAAAAGUGCUGGGAUUGCAGGCACGAGCCACCGCGCCCAGCCUUAAAACUCCUUUCUUUACACUUUACCCAGCCUUGGGCAUUCUUUCAUAGCAAUGUGAAAAUGGACUGGCACAGGCCUUCUGGACACCACAGACAAACCUAAGCCAAACCCAAGCAAGAGCCUGUGGUGGGUGUGAGCCGGGCAGGUGGGGCUGGGGCAGAAGGUGCAGGGUGGGAGCGCGUCCAGGAGGGACAAAGUCAUCCGGCACCCUGGGGUUGCUGUGGCACUGGUGUGCCCAUGGCUUCCUGAGGGCCACUAUGUAGUGACUGUGCACAGCAGCUCGCAGAUGCACCGAGAGUCUGAGGAGAUUUGCACAGGCACCAGGACGCUGUGUCCAAAGUGGUUUCAGAUGACCCUUUUCAGGAAAAUGUCAUUGCAGCAGUUUGCAGCACCCAUGGGUCCAUGUUACACCCCCAACCCAUUUUACAGACCUCACUGAAGGUGAGAGGUGAUCUGAACUAGGAAGUGUGGGUUACAUGAGCAUGUGUGACUGAGUGUGUGUGUAUGUGUGUGUGUGGCUGCAGAGGGAAGUCCAUGCCAAGUGAGCUGGCCUUUAAUGUCAGGAUGCACAGGGUCAGUCUCUCAGCCAUUACCCACCCCACACAGGGUUUGCUGAGAUAGGUGGCUAACCUCACUUAAAAAAUAAAAAAAGGGGAGGUGGCGCCCUGCUCGUGUCAGUUGUUCUCUUUGGUGGUGAUGGUGACCAGAUGCUUGGCGAUGUUGUAUGCACACUGGAUGACCUCCUGUGUGACCAGCUGGACAUCUGUGGGUGAACCUGGGUCCCCCGGGAGGGUCUUCUUGCACUCUGACUGCAGUCGGUAGGCACUGGAUGUCAGCGAAUGAAGGGAAGUCCUCAUCAUAUCAGACUUGGGUUUUUUGGGGAAUAAUGCCGCUAUUUCUGUAACAGCUAUGUGUAUCCUCUCUGAGCAGGGAAUAUACCUCAUUAUCCUCUUUAAUUCUCAAUAAGAGACUCAAAUGUUUCCCAGCAAUCUUAAAAAUACAAAGUGCAGUUCUUUUAGUGGACCAGCCUUGCUAACAUGGUGAAACCUCGUCUGUACUAAAAGAGAAUAAUAAUGAAAAAUUAGCUGGGUGUUAGUGGCAUGCACCUGUAAUCCCAGCUACUCAGGAGGCAGAGACAGGAGAACUGCUUGAGCCUGGGAGGCAGAAGUUGCAGUUAGCCAACAUCAUGCCAUUGCACUCCAGUCUGGGCGACAGAGUGAGACCCUGCCUCAAAAAAACAAAAACAAAAAUGUUUAUAUGUGAAUUUGUGUCAGAUCAAAAUNNNNNNNNNNNNNNNNNNNNNNNNNUGAGCUGUGAUCGUGCCACUGCAC
ensembl:lincRNA